AUGCUUGCUUCAUCAGCACAUAGACUAAAAUUGGAAUGAUAGAGAAGUUUAGCAUGACCCCUGCACAAUGAUGACACGCAAAUUCAUGAAGCGUUCCAUAAAAAA
rnacentral:snRNA from 1 species